rnacentral:rRNA from 1 species
AUCAACUUUCGAUGGUAGGAUAGAGGCCUACCAUGGUGGUAACGGGUAACGGGGUGUUAGGGCACGACACCGGAGAGGGAGCCUGAGAAACGGCUACCACAUCCAAGGAUGGCAGCAGGCGCGCAAAUUACCCAAUCCCGACACGGGGAGGUAGUGACAAUAAAUAACAAUACGGGGUUCUUUCGGAUUUCGUAAUUGGAAUGAGUACAAUUUAAAUCUCUUAACGAGGAACAAUUGGAGGGCAAGUCUGGUGCCAGCAGCCGCGGUAAUUCCAGCUCCAAUAGCGUAUAUUAAAGUUGUUGCAGUUAAAAAGCUCGUAGUUGAAUUUCGGGGUCAGUAGAUUGGUCGUGCCACUGGUAUGCACUGGUCUUACUGGCUCCUCCUUCCUGAUGAACCGUAAUGCCAUUAAUUUGGUGUUGCGGGGAGACAGGACUGUUACUUUGAAAAAAUUAGAGUGUUUAAAGCAGGCUAACGCUUGAAUACAUUAGCAUGGAAUAAUGAAAUAGGACGUUUGAUCCUAUUUUGUUGGUUUCUAGGAUUGACGUAAUGAUUAAUAGGGAUAGUUGGGGGCAUUAGUAUUCAAUUGUCAGAGGUGAAAUUCUUGGAUUUAUUGAAGACUGACUACUGCGAAAGCAUUUGCCAAGGAUGUUUUCAUUAAUCAAGAACGAAAGUUAGGGGAUCGAAGACGAUCAGAUACCGUCGUAGUCUUAACCAUAAACUAUGCCGACUAGGGAUCGGAUGAUGUUAAUUUUUUAAUGACUCAUUCGGCGCCUUACGGGAAACCAAAGUGUUUGGGUUC